ACAACGGCUCUUUUCAGAGCCAUCCACAAACCUUGAAGAGCUUCAU
rfam:Oryzias latipes DNA, chromosome13, strain: Hd-rR.